rnacentral:rRNA from 1 species
GGGCCCACCUGACCCCAUGCCGAACUCAGAAGUGAAACGCCGUAGCGCCGAUGGUAGUGUGGGGUCUCCCCAUGCGAGAGUAGGGAACUGCCAGGC